AAGGCCUUAGCUUAAUUAAAGUGUCUGGGUUGCAUUCAGAAGAUGUGGAGUAGUGUUCUGCAGGUUUUA
rnacentral:tRNA from 1 species